AUAGAUUUGGUUUGCUUUUUUUAUAGUACAUUCGUAGACUUCUAUGUAGAUGUAGGUCUACAGACUGCAGCUGUCCAAUAAUUAUUUAAUAAUGUACUAUCAAAAGCGAAGAAGCUGGUUGUGGAAAUUGGGGAACACCAGGAGAAGAAGUUGUUGUUGUGGAGACUGAAGAAGUUGCUGGUGUUGAGACUGAGAAGCCUGCUGGUGAUGAGGUUGCUGCUGAUGCUAACAAGGAGAACAUUGCUGAAGUGGAGGAGCAGAAAGAGUCUGAAGAUAAGGUAAGCAGAUGAGUUAAGAGAGAUGUUAGGUUGCUAGAUUAGGACAUGGAACUGAACUUACUCUUGUUUCGGCUUUUUUCUUUAUUAUCCUUCAAUGCUUAUUAGCUUGUGGUUUGGUAGGAAAUGACUCUGGAUGAGUACGAGAAAAAUACUUGAGGAGAAGAGAAAAGCCCUUCAGUCUCAGAACACCUCUGAAAGAAAAGUUGAUACUAAAGUGUUUAAAUCAAUGCAAAAAAUCUCAAACAAGAAGAAGUCUCGAUGAAAUCUUCAUCAAGUUGGUAAGACAUAUUACCUCCCUGUCUUGUCGACUAGAAACACUCUUAACCGGUUCUGAACUUUGCAUUUGAUCUAUCUCCCAGGGUUCUGAUAAGGACAAACGCAAAAAUGACAAAGAAGAGAAGGCUAAUAAGGUUUACAUUGUUGUCUGAAUGAAAGAGUUUGUAAAAGUCAAUAAGUUUGCUUAUGGAUGUGUUAUGUGGUUUACAGGCUGUGAACAUCAACGAGUUUUUGAAACCAGGUGAGGGUGAGAACUACUACCGAGGAGGAGGUCGUGGUGGUCGUGGAAGGGGACGUGGUGGUCGUGACGGGGAAGGUGCUUCUGGUGGUGGAUUUGAUGGUUACCGUAGUGAAGCUGCACCUGCCAUUGGAGAUACUGCUCAGUUCCCAUAUCUUGGGGGCAAGUAGGAUCCAUCCUUGGAAACUUGUGCUGUCUCCUUCAGUUUUCCUCAUCAAGACUGAAGUGUUUCAUGCUGAGUGUUUGCCGGUCUGUUGUUGUCAGGUGUAAAUUGUUAGUUGUCGUCAGUUUUUAGAGUUUCUGCAAACUUAUGCAUGACCUGUCUUUUUUUUAACGUUUGAAACAAUACCCUUUUCUAUUUUGGUUUACCACUUAGUCUU